rnacentral:sRNA from 1 species
CUUCCUUUCUCCCUGUAUAUUCAGUCCAGGAUCCCAACCCUUGGAUGAUUCUGCCCACAUCCAAGGAGGUCUUCUCGCUUCAGGUAAACCUCACAGGAAAUCCUUUUACAAACACACCAAAAGGUGUGUCUCACUACUGCCAUCAGUUGUCUUGUAAGCUAGCUGGUCAAGUUGACCACUGAAAUUAGCCAUCCCAAGGAGUGUGAAAUAAGAAGCAAGGGAGUCUAGGAAACUUAUACCAGCAACUUCACUGAAUUCAGUAGUGUAGUGAGUGCCAAAUGUUGUAACAGCUCCGGGACAUAUAAUGGAUUUUCACUUUGAGGCUAAAUGCUGAGCACAAAGUCAGAGUCCAGCUCCUCAUGGAAUGGAAUUUUGAGGAAAAAUGAAAAAAAAAUGAGUAGAGUCAGAGAACGAUAUCCCAGGAGGUGCUAUGACACGAAGGAAGCAUACAUAAGUCCUUCCGCUGAACUCUAGGGAGGAGAGAAGAACAAUUUUGGGGGGUGUAGGGAAUGAAUUUGAGGUCCUGUUGCCGGAUGGAUCCAAACUUCUAAAGUUCAAAUGUCACAGAAAGAAAAAAAAUGAUAGAAGUGUUGGAAGGAGAGUUAAUUAAAGCUUAAAAGAAAGACAUAAUGUUACAAGCCUGGGAAUAAGUUUCAAAACAGGACUUUUGUUUUUGACAGUGUCCCUUUAAAUGAUGUGGCUCUCCUGGGGACUCUUCCUUGAGAAGCAUCUGCCACCCUACACAAUAAUUAGCCAGCGACACAUUUUCUUUGUUGUUCAUUAAAGAUUAAUGAGAAGCAGAGCUUCAGGUCUGGUUCGAUGGAGGAACCCUGAAGGGGUCAUUUGAACCUUUCAUAUCUCUUCCUCUCAGAGACUGAUGAGCAUCUUUUCAAUACAGCAGCAGCCGUCUGCCUUCUCACCUACAAUAUGUCUUUGGUGGAAACCAAGACGUUUUUGGCAUGCUGUCUCCUACCUUCGGCUCAACGGCACAUGCGUGGAAAGAGGGAGAACAGCUGUUUGGAGCUCUGCAGAGGGUUGAGCACAUUUCACGCUGAGGUGACGGACAGUUUCAGCAGAGCGUGUCUCCCCAACUCUGUGGAACAGGAACGUCAGGUGGCCACCCAGAAUGCCAUGGUCCAGAAUUUGAAUGACUUCUGAGGGAUAGUGGAAGAAACAAGCAAGCAAGCAAGCAAACAGACAGACAGACAGAUAUCUGUGGGAGAGUGGACCUCAAGAAACUUGAUGGCCAAGAUAACAUGAGGGUCUGUGACUGAGCUUAUCCCAGCAAUCAGCAUGGACGGCUGCUGAGCAGAUUGAGCUACGUCGGACCCGUGGUCCACAAACUCUCAACUCCAAUCUCCAAACAAGGAACCACUCAGCUACUGAUAAUGGAAUGUGCCUUUGGAAGCUCCCCUUCAGCUUUCUCAGCCUCUUUGUGAUCAAGCUAUUUACUGGGCAGACAAUCUAAGCAAUAAAACUGCCAUAAACUGCAACAGACCAAGCUAAUAUAAAUUGUAUACUGUGUAGUCACACAAGCAAGAAUGAUAAUUCCCCAUCUCUCUUACUGAAGAUGGAAAAUGUAAGAAGGGCUAAGGACUCCUCAGGAGGGGUAUGAGGAUCCUCAAUAGGAUGUUUGGGCUGGAGUUACUUUAUAUACAUGUGGUAUCUGUACCUUGGCAUGUGUUGGCAUUACACAGAAAGAUCACAAAAGAUAGAAGUGUAAUGCUUGCUAUAAAAUAUUUAACAUUACAGAAAAGUCUAGCAUUCUCUUUGACCAGCAAACUCUUCCCAUUUCCAUAUCUAGAGGUAACCAUGAUAUUAAGUUCAGAACAUAUUUUUCAGACUUUUUUUCAAUGUGGGACAGGUACAUAAAUAUGUAUUCCUAGAACUGUUCACAAGGAGAAUAAAUGCACGUUACUGGGGUAAUAAAAAUUUAAUUCCAAACAAGAGAGAUGAAG